CAUCUGGAGACCGGCCUUUAUAAGCAGCUGCCAGACCUUCCUUCGACGCCGCAGUGUUAGCCAAGUUUGGAAACCAGUCUCUCGAGAGAAGCUCUGGAUGAGCUUAACCUGAAUCUGCCUGCCUGCCCUAGAGAGCCAAACCUGAAGACCUCACUCUGGAAUCCACCAGCUGCUCUUAGGAAAGAGCAAUCACUCCAACCAAGGUCUGUUCACUGGAAGUCAGAAGCUAGACGCUGCUGCUGCCCUAGCACUCUGCUGAACCAACAGUCUCUGGACCCAACCGGUUCCCUCUCUCAGAAUUAACCUGGAACUCUUCAAGACGCCAGAGAAUCCUGCCCGGACCAGAACCUGAAUCUUGC